UUAAAUACUCUUCUAAUAUAAUGAAUCCAUGCAGGAUUAGAAGCAAAAGAAUAAGGCAAACACAUAACAGUAACCAUUUUAGCUAAUUCUUCACGAUCCUUAUUUGGAUCGUAAUAUAAUAUACCUCCGGUGACUGUGUUUAUUCCUGGUUGAACUAGAUUUGAACCAGUACUUCACUUAGCCUUAUUUUGUUCUCUUAGUUGAAUAAAAAAUUGCCAAACUAAUGAUGUUUCUGUACGUUUAGGAGGUUGUCUACUAAAAGUGGGUGUUUGUACGGGUGGGUGUGCCGGUUCAUCACUUAAG
rnacentral:lncRNA from 1 species